CUACCCUCUCCUCCGGGGUCGUAGCAGCGAUAAUGGCCCUUGUGUUUGACCUGAAAGCAUUAGUUGAUAUGAUGUCAAUUGGGACACUCUUUGCCUACACACUUGUGGCUAUAUGCAUUCUCAUACUGAGGUACCAAGAGACCCAAUCAGAAGACUCAGAUCUCCAGAUCCUUGAAUCAAACACCAAGUUUGGUUGUCUCAAACCACCAUCAUUCCCAACUUCGGGCACCUCCAAAACAGUCACAGGUUUGACUGUCUUGUCUGUGGUGUGUGUAUGUGGUCUGUGCAUCCUGCUGACCCAAGCGAUAGACGCUUAUACAGGCGGCAAGGAGA